AAUAAGUUAGGAUAAAGUUUUUAGAGUCUAAUGGGUUCAUAUUCCAUGGGUUUUCUUAUUAG
rnacentral:tRNA from 1 species